GGAACCAUGCGGGCAGGCCCCGCCUAACCCCGCCAGGUCCGGAAGGAAGCAACGGUAAGCGAAGGUCUGUCGCGCCGUGGGGACGAA
rnacentral:SRP_RNA from 1 species